ACAGAAUAUUCGACAAUGGGCGAAAGCCUGAUCGAGCGAUGCCGCGUGCAGGAAGAAGGACUUCGGUCCGUAAACUGCUUUUGUCAGGGAAGAAUUUUGACGGUACCUGAAGAAUAAGGGGUUGCUAACUCUGUGCCAGCAGCAGCGGUAAUACAGAGACCCCGAGCGUUAUCCGGAAUAACUGGGCGUAAAGAGUGAGUAGCCGGUUUUAUUAGUCUGACGUUAAAUCUCGAGGCUCAACUUCGAGACCGCGUUGGAAACGGUAAGACUAGAGUGGGUAAGAGGCAGACGGAACGUGCAGUGUAGGGGUGAAAUCCAUUGAUAUUGCACGGAACACCAAAAGCGAAAGCAGUCUGCUGGUGCUCUACUGACGGUCAAUCACUAAAGCGUGGGGAUCAAAAAGGAUUAGAUACCCUUGUAGUCCACGCCCUAAACAAUACACACUAGCUAUUGGGAGCAUCGACCCUUCCAGUGGCGAAGCCAACGCGUUAAGUGUGUCGCCG
rnacentral:rRNA from 1 species